rnacentral:rRNA from 1 species
GACGAACGCUGGCGGCGUGCUUAACACAUGCAAGUCGAACGGAAAGGCCCUGCUUUUGUGGGGUGCUCGAGUGGCGAACGGGUGAGUAACACGUGAGUAACCUGCCCUUGACUUUGGGAUAACUUCAGGAAACUGGGGCUAAUACCGGAUAGGAGCUCCUGCCGCAUGGUGGGGGUUGGAAAGUUUCGGCGGUUGGGGAUGGACUCGCGGCUUAUCAGCUUGUUGGUGGGGUAGUGGCUUACCAAGGCUUUGACGGGUAGCCGGCCUGAGAGGGUGACCGGCCACAUUGGGACUGAGAUACGGCCCAGACUCCUACGGGAGGCAGCAGUGGGGAAUAUUGCACAAUGGGCGGAAGCCUGAUGCAGCAACGCCGCGUGCGGGAUGACGGCCUUCGGGUUGUAAACCGCUUUCGCCUGUGACGAAGCGUGAGUGACGGGAAUGGGUAAAGAAGCACCGGCUAACUACGU